rnacentral:rRNA from 1 species
UGGCGGACGGGUGAGUAAUGUCUGGGAAACUGCCUGAUGGAGGGGGAUAACUACUGGAAACGGUAGCUAAUACCGCAUAACGUCGCAAGACCAAAGAGGGGGACCUUCGGGCCUCUUGCCAUCGGAUGUGCCCAGAUGGGAUUAGCUAGUAGGUGGGGUAACGGCUCACCUAGGCGACGAUCCCUAGCUGGUCUGAGAGGAUGACCAGCCACACUGGAACUGAGACACGGUCCAGACUCCUACGGGAGGCAGCAGCC